rnacentral:tRNA from 1 species
GCGUCUGUAGCUCAGUUGGAUAGAGCAACGGCCUUCUAAGCCGUGGGUCGGGGGUUCGAAUCCCUCCAGUCGCACCA